GACGAACGCUGGCGGCGUGCUUAACACAUGCAAGUCGAACGGAAAGGCCCUGCUUUUGUGGGGUGCUCGAGUGGCGAACGGGUGAGUAACACGUGAGUAACCUGCCCUCGACUUUGGGAUAACUUCAGGAAACUGGGGCUAAUACCGGAUAGGAGCUCCUGCUGCAUGGUGGGGGUUGGAAAGUUUCGGCGGUUGGGGAUGGACUCGCGGCUUAUCAGCUUGUUGGUGGGGUAGUGGCUUACCAAGGCUUUGACGGGUAGCCGGCCUGAGAGGGUGACCGGCCACAUUGGGACUGAGAUACGGCCCAGACUCCUACGGGAGGCAGCAGUGGGGAAUAUUGCACAAUGGGCGGAAGCCUGAUGCAGCAACGCCGCGUGCGGGAUGACGGCCUUCGGGCUGUAAACCGCUUUCGCCUGUGACGAAGCGUGAGUGACGGUAAUGGGUAAAGAAGCACCGGCUAACUACGUG
rnacentral:rRNA from 1 species